GGGAAAUAUUCCCAACUCUCAAAACGCGGCGCUUUUGCGCUGGUCAAAAAUAUAAUAAAAAGCAAAUUAAAGGGCGAAAUUUAAAAAAGAAAAGAACUGAUUUGAACCCAGAACAAAAGAGAGAGGACCAGGAGUGAAAUUAUCCCUCCCCCUACCAAAACACGCGGAUCUAGCCGCGGUUGGAUCGGGUCAUCGGGUUUAAGGGCCAAUACGACGCCGUUUUGGGGCCACUGAGCAAGACCUCAAACGGCGUCGUUCUGAUUCAAUAUAAAGCAAAAAAAAAAAACCCUAAACUAAACAGUUUUCAGCCACUUUGGAUGCCAUAGCCGCAAGGUUCAAAGAUGAGACCUCUCACCUUUCGCCAGACUCCGAUUACGGCGGAGUUAGCGGAGGCGCGAUCACCAGGUCGUUGCAGGUGUACGGAGGCCGUACAGUGACGCGUGCGAGGAGCGGCUUGAAGGUGUGGUGGCGCACGCACGAGAGGAGGCCUGGCUCUGCUGCGGCACUGGAGUUUAUUGUCUAAGGUUUAUUUCUCAGCUAGGCUAAGUUGUUGGGCCUCCAAUAUUGGGCUAGGGUUAGCUAGUUUGGACUUUAGUAGGUUUUGGGUUUAAUUUCUGGUAUGUAAUUAGGUAAAAAUGAUUUGGGCCACGUUGGGCCCAUGUAUUUGGACUAUGGACUUUUAAACUUUGGCUUGGUUUAUUUUAUUAACGGGUCGGGUAAAUUGGGCCUAUUACAGUAUCUUUGUAAACUAACUUUAAUGGUCACUAAAUUAAACAUUAAAUGCUAAUAGUAUCGAUACUCGUAGAAAAAAUAUCGAUACCUUUUGUUGUA